CCCCGGAUGGCGGAAUGGUAGACGCAGCGGAUUCAAAAUCCGCCGGGUAAAACCGUGAGAGUUCGAGUCUCUCUCUGGGGACCA
rnacentral:tRNA from 2 species